rnacentral:lncRNA from 1 species
CACCUCCUAACACCAUCACAAAGCUACUUUGACUCGAAGAUAACAGCCAUACUGUUCACAGUGAGGUCCACAGACCAGCAGCUUCAUCAUUGUCAUGUGAGGAUGUGUCAGAAAUGCAGAACCUCAGGCUCCACCUCAGACCUACUAUGGAAUCAGAAUCUUCGCCUUAUUAAGAUCCCCAGGGGACUGGGUGCAGUGGCUCAUACCUGUAAUCCCAGCACUUUGGGAAGCCAAGGCAAGUGGAUCACUUCAGGUCAGGAGUUCGAGAUGAGCCUGGCCAACAUGGUGAAACCCCAUCUCUACUAAAAAUACAAAAAUUACCUGGGCGUGGUGGUGCACACCUGUAAUCUCAGGUACUCAGGAGGCUGAGGCAGGAGAAUUGCUUGAAUCUAAGAAGCAGAGGUUGCAGUGAGCUGAGAUCAUGCCAUCGCACUCCAGACUACAGCCUGGGUGACAGAGUGAGAUCUUGUCUCAAAACAACAGCAACAACAAAAAGAUGACCCCCAGGCAAUUCGGCAAUUCAUAUGCACAUGCAAGUUUGAGAACAACGGGAAAUGACGAGAAAAUAAAGAACUGAG